UAUUUUGUGCAACUUACAGACACAUCAUUGUUUUUCAUUUUUACCUUAUUCCUAGUGUAACUAAAGAAAGCUUAAUUAAAAAAAAAUUAUAAACUUCACUUUAAUUCUAUAGCAUUUAUCUGUUCAUAUCACAGAGUGAUAUGUGCCACAUAAUUCAUGUGCUUUUUUAAAAGUAUGCAUUCUUUGUAUUAUGCAUCUUGUUAGAUGUUAUGUUUUAUAAAUAUCACUUAGUUCAAGUUGGUUGGUGGGCUUUCCACUGCUCUUCCUAUUGUAGUCAAAUAUGCCAAAGAUAGCAGUAACUCAUAGAGCUCCUACAUAACACAUUUCCAGUAAACUGAGCAAAUAACCCACACUUAGCUUACUACAUUCCACUUUUACAUUAAUUUAACUAUUUCAAGGGAAAUUUCUAAAAUUUUUUAAAAUUUCUAAAAUUUUUUUAAUCAUGAUUAUUUUUAAUUGUUCAUUGCCACGAUAUCAACUUUCAUAUGUACAUAUAAAUAGUUACAGACCAUAAAUAACCAUAUGGCAAAAUAUUUUCCUCUAGCCAAAAAAGGAAAAACAAAUUUUUGCAAUAAAUAAGACUUAAUACUGAAGACAGAUAGAUGCUGAGGUAAUUUUUUAUCUAAAGGGACUUCACCCUACAUUGCAUUCUCACUCUGAGAACUAAAGUAGUUAAGAAACUCCUGUCUCAUAACAAAAUUACAAUACAUGUUUUCAAACCAAAUGAAAAAUAAUUACAAAUAGGUAAAUAAAUAAAAUUCCUGACUAAUUCAAUCAUGACAUUAUUUCUUUUUUAAGGUAUUUUUAGUUUUACUUUUAAUCAAUAAAGUGUAUAUAUUCAUGGGGUAAAAUGUGUUUUAAUACAUGGAUACAUUGUAGAAUUAUCAAAUCAGAAUUAGCAUAUCUGUCACUUCAAAUAUUUAUUCUUUCCAUGAGGUAAGAAAACAUGAAACUCCUUUAGUUAAUUUGAAAUAUACCUUAACUGUAGUCACCUUGUUCUACAAAAGAACACCAGAACUCAUUUCCAACUUUGCACUCUUUUCCCCACCCAACCCCCACACCCACAACCAGAUUUAGGUAACUGGUAUCCACCAUCCUACUGUCAGAAUUUGACUUUGGGCCCAGCGAAGUGGUGCAUACCUAUAAUCCCAGUGGUUCUGAAGACUGAGACAGGAGGAUGUGUUAUGCUUGAAUUCGGGACCCCCAAAAGACCACCAGAGAAAAAGAUCGAUGGUCUUGCUAAAUUGCUAAGAUUGGCCUCGAGCUUGCCAGUCUCCUGAGUCUCUGGGAUUACAAGUCUAUGAUCCAACACCCAGCAGCUCUCUUGGUUUAUGUGUGCUUAAAUAACAGCUGAAAAGGGAAGAAGAGAAAAAUUGGACAAAAGAAGAGAGAAAAAACAGAAAAGAAUAAUACACACCAAGGUCAAUGUAGACCAAGGUGAGCUAAUAAGGAAAAGUUUAAUUCCUUCUUUUUGAGAAGUAACAUGAAAGAGAGUUCUGACAGUAAUUCUGCUAAUUCAUCUUCAAAAGAAUCUAUUACCACAGAUUGAUGUGAGCACUCAAUCAUGGUCAAUGUAAACCAAGAUCUGCAAUUCAUCUGGAUAAAUUUAUUUCUUCAUUUGUGUUGUCAUGUGAAGGAAAGUAUUAGGAAUCAUUCAGUCUCUCAUCCUCAAGAGCCAGUGGUAUUUCUCACAAAGUAAGCAUUUUGCCUGAACAUACUUAUAUUCCUUGUAGAAACCACAAAGCUCCAACAGCACUGCAUUGUGGCAGCCAUGAAACUGGUCUACAUGAUUAAAGAUGUGGGUCAGUGUGUCUCAGUGUGAUUAAGGCUAAGUGAUCAGUGUCUGCCACAUACCUCAGGUACAGGGUCCCUUUUAUUCAAUGUGCCUGGAACUCAGUUAACUUACAAAAAUGGAUCUUGUUGGAAUCUGAACAAAAUGAAUGACCAAACCACUUCUGAAAACUGAGAUUUGGCACAGGGACCCUGCUAGGCAGAAAUUUGGGAGAAUUUCAGGUGUUCAACCAGUAGGUCUCACAGAUCUGAGGGAAAUUGAAAACUACCAAAUUGUAUAGAUUAGUUGAAAUGAAAUGGAUGUUUGUUUAUAGAUAUCCAAUUGUGGAAUAUAAGAGUUAGUCCUUUGUUAUUUCACUGGUAGCCUCUAUAUUCUGGGUUGGAGAUUAACACCUGAGUAGUGAACACUUUGGGAAACUAUUUUACCUAUACGUGAGUCGUUCUUCUCAUUGGGAAUAGUCUACUAAGGUCCUAGUAAAUGACCACUUAAAAGAUAUGAGGAGUUUUUAUUUGGGCUUUAUCACUUAAAUUAUAAAAGUAUUAUGGAACAUGUAAUUUUUGUUUUUCUUAAAGGGUAAUGACAUAUUUUAGUUUGAUCCUUCACAUGGUCACAAGCACAUAUUUUGUGUUACCUGUGUUUGGGGCUCAGUUUUCUACAUGCUUGAGGGAAGGAUUCCAAUCCUGCAAGAAGAAUUUAAACUAUAAAAUAAUUGUAUUAAUAUAUAUUUUGUGGACUGAUAUUCAUUCUUUCAACCAUUUUCUAUUUAAAUGGAUAUUUUAGUUUUAAUGAGUUAUCCUGAAAGAGACCUUCAGGAACACUUUGACACCAAUGUCUUAGGAAAAAAAAUUACCUUCUAUACUCUGUUCUAAUCAGUAAAUACAAUUUUUUGUCAUGUAGGUUGUCAAGUACAUAUCUAUGAUUGCUUUCUAGAAAUCUUUUAACAGUAAACAUUCAAUUGGGAAGGUAUUGUUCUUCAAUUUUCCUGACUUCUUCUGUACUUUGUAGUUGAAAGGAACAUUAGAAGCACUUAGAAUUAUUACUGCUAUAAUGGGACAUUGCCAUCAGUGACCCCAUCUUGGUUUAUUGUUGUUUCUAAUUACCAGGAUAUAUUCUUUAUACUGCAUCCUGGAGCAUCUUACCCUCAAGACAAAAGAAGCCUGUUAUUAGAAGUUUAUCACAUCUGAUCAGUGCUUUCUUAAUUCAUUCUCCUGGAAAAUGCUGGUUUUUGAAUGUUGUCCCUAAUUUAUUUCUCAUAUAUUCCCCAUAUCCAAAAAGACUUUAAGGUGAUAUCAGAGACAUUGAAAUGUAUGGCUCCUUCCAGAAUACUGACAUCCUCAAUGAAACCUAAUUUCUUUAUCCCAAAUGUGCAUCUCUCAGACAAUGGUUUUCUAUGUAGCAAGUUCCGAAUCUCAGGUUGGUAAUACAGCCACAACAUAGAGCUACUGAGCUAGCCACUUUUUAUCAACUUCUGUAUCUUGAAACGAUCAAAACACCAGUUUCUGAGACAACAUGACAAUUUCUGUG